rnacentral:pre_miRNA from 1 species
CCGUCCCAAAAUUCUUGUCUUACAUUUGUUUAGAUACAGAUGUAUCUAACACUAAAAUGUAACUAGAUACAUCCGUAUUUAGACAAAUUUAAGACAAGAAUUUUGGGACGG